rnacentral:rRNA from 1 species
UAGGGAAUCUUCGGCAAUGGACGAAAGUCUGACCGAGCAACGCCGCGUGAGUGAAGAAGGUUUUCGGAUCGUAAAACUCUGUUGUUAGAGAAGAACAAGGACGUUAGUAACUGAACGUCCCCUGACGGUAUCUAACCAGAAAGCCACGGCUAACUACGUGCCAGCAGCCGCGGUAAUACGUAGGUGGCAAGCGUUGUCCGGAUUUAUUGGGCGUAAAGCGAGCGCAGGCGGUUUCUUAAGUCUGAUGUGAAAGCCCCCGGCUCAACCGGGGAGGGUCAAUGGAAACUGGGAGACUUGAGUACAGAAGAGGAGAGUGGAAUUCCAUGUGUAGCGGUGAAAUGCGUAGAUAUAUGGAGGAACACCAGUGGCGAAGGCGGCUCUCUGGUCUGUAACAGACGCUGAGGCUCGAAAGCGUGGGGAGCAAACAGG